rnacentral:rRNA from 1 species
UACAGAGGGGGCAAGCGUUGUUCGGAAUUACUGGGCGUAAAGGGCGCGUAGGCGGCCUUCUAAGUCGAACGUGAAAUCCCCGGGCUCAACCCGGGAACUGCGUCCGAUACUGGGGGGCUUGAAUCCGGGAGAGGGAUGUGGAAUUCCAGGUGUAGCGGUGAAAUGCGUAGAUAUCUGGAGGAACACCGGUGGCGAAGGCGGCAUCCUGGACCGGUAUUGACGCUGAGGCGCGAAAGCCAGGGAAGCAAACGGG